rnacentral:rRNA from 1 species
UACGAAGGGUGCAAACGUUGCUCGGAUUUAUUGGGCGUAAAGCGCACGUAGGCGGCUCUAUAAGUCGGAUGUGAAAGCCCUCGGCUCAACCAAGGAAGUGCAUUCGAAACUGCAGAGCUUGAGUACUUAAGAGGAUCGCGGAAUUCCCGGUGUAGAGGUGUAAUUCGUAGAUAUCGGGAGGAACACCAGUGGCGAAGGCGGCGAUCUGGGAUGAUCCUGACGCUGAGGUGCGAAAGCGUGGGGAGCAAACAGG